AACGAACGCUGGCGGCAUGCCUAACACAUGCAAGUCGAACGAGACCUUCGGGUCUAGUGGCGCACGGGUGCGUAACGCGUGGGAACCUGCCCUUAGGUUCGGAAUAACUCCCCGAAAGGGGUGCUAAUACCGGAUAAUGUCUUCGGACCAAAGCUUUAUCGCCUUUGGAUGGGCCCGCGUUGUAUUAGGAAGUUGGUAGGGUAAAAGCCUACCAAGGCGACGAUCCAUAGCUGGUCUGAGAGGAGGAUCAGCCACACUGGGACUGGGUCACGGCCCAGACUCCUACGGGAGGCAGCAGUGGGGGAUAUUGGACAAUGGGCGAGAGGCUGAUACAGCAAUGCCGCGUGAGUGAUGAAGGCCUUAGGGUUGUAAAGCGCUUUUAACCGGGAUGAUAAUGACAGUACCGGGAGAAUAAGCUCCGGCUAACUACGUG
rnacentral:rRNA from 1 species